rnacentral:rRNA from 1 species
CAGUCGAGCGGCAGCGACUUAACUGAACCUUCGGAUGGACGUUAAGGGCGGCGAGCGGCGGACGGGUGAGUAAUGGCUGGGAACCUGCCUGGUAGAGGGGGAUAACCACUGGAAACGGUGGCUAAUACCGCAUGAUGUCUACGGACCAAAGAGGGGGACCUUCGGGCCUCUCGCUACCGGAUGGGCCCAGUUGGGAUUAGCUAGUUGGUGGGGUAAAGGCUCACCAAGGCGACGAUCCCUAGCUGGUUUGAGAGGAUGAUCAGCCACACUGGAACUGAGACACGGUCCAGACUCCUACGGGAGGCAGCAGUGGGGAAUAUUGCACAAUGGGCGCAAGCCUGAUGCAGCCAUGCCGCGUGUGUGAAGAAGGCCUUCGGGUUGUAAAGCACUUUCAGCCGUGAGGAAGGCAUUGUACCUAAUACGUGCAGUGUUUGACGUUAGCGGCAGAAGAAGCACCGGCUAACUCCGUGCCAGCAGC